rnacentral:rRNA from 1 species
GCAGCGCGGGGCAACCUGGCGGCGAGUGGCGAACGGGUGAGUAAUAUAUCGGAACGUGCCCUGGAGUGGGGGAUAACGCAGCGAAAGUUGCGCUAAUACCGCAUACGAUCUAAGGAUGAAAGCGGGGGAUUCGCAAGAACCUCGUGCUCCUGGAGCGGCCGAUAUCUGAUUAGCUAGUUGGUGGGGUAAAGGCCUACCAAGGCAUCGAUCAGUAGCUGGUCUGAGAGGACGACCAGCCACACUGGAACUGAGACACGGUCCAGACUCCUACGGGAGGCAGCAGUGGGGAAUUUUGGACAAUGGGCGAAAGCCUGAUCCAGCAAUGCCGCGUGAGUGAAGAAGGCCUUCGGGUUGUAAAGCUCUUUUGUCAGGGAAGAAACGGUGAAGGCUAAUAUCCUUUGCUAAUGACGGUACCUGAAGAAUAAGCACCGGCUAACUACGUGCCAGCAGCCGCGGUAAUACGUAGGGUGCAAGCGUUAAUCGGAAUUACUGGGCGUAAAGCGUGCGCAGGCGGUUUUGUAAGUCUGUCGUGAAAUCCCCGGGCUCAACCUGGGAAUUGCGAUGGAGACUGCAAGGCUAGAAUCUGGCAGAGGGGGGUAGAAUUCCACGUGUAGCAGUGAAAUGCGUAGAGAUGUGGAGGAACACCGAUGGCGAAGGCAGCCCCCUGGGUCAAGAUUGACGCUCAUGCACGAAAGCGUGGGGAGCAAACAGGAUUAGAUACCCUGGUAGUCCACGCCCUAAACGAUGUCUACUAGUUGUCGGGUUUUAAUUAACUUGGUAACGCAGCUAACGCGUGAAGUAGACCGCCUGGGGAGUACGGUCGCAAGAUUAAAACUCAAAGGAAUUGACGGGGNNCCGCACAAGCGGUGGAUGAUGUGGAUUAAUUCGAUGCAACGCGAAAAACCUUACCUACCCUUGACAUGUACGGAAGCCACGAGAGAUCGANGCGUGCUCGAAAGAGAGCCGUAACACNNG